CUAAAUCGAGUGGCGAACGGGUGAGUAACGCGUGGGGAACCUGCCUCAAAGAGGGGGACAACAGUUGGAAACGACUGCUAAUACCGCAUAAGACCACAGCACCGCAUGGUGCAGGGGUAAAAAACUCCGGUGGCAUGGGAUGGACCCGCGUCUGAUUAGGUAGUUGGUGGGGUAACGGCCUACCAAGCCGACGAUCAGUAGCCGACCUGAGAGGGUGACCGGCCACAUUGGGACUGAGACACGACCCAA
rnacentral:rRNA from 1 species